UCAGUAGACAUUACAUUAGUAGUAGAAAGGGAUAGGACAGAGGUCUUCUAAACCUUUAGUAUAGGUUCAAAUCCUAUUGGACGCAA
rnacentral:tRNA from 1 species